UACGAAGGGGGCUAGCGUUGCUCGGAAUGACUGGGCGUAAAGCGCACGUAGGCGGUUCGUUAAGUCGGAUGUGAAAGCCCUUGGCUUAACCGAGGAAGUGCAUCCGAAACUGGCGAGCUAGAGUACUAAAGAGGAUCGCGGAAUUCCCAGUGUAGAGGUGAAAUUCGUAGAUAGUUGGGAAGAACACCGGUGGCGAAGGCGGCGACCUGGUCCGAGACUGGACGCUGAGGCGCGAAAGCGUGGGGAGCAAACAGG
rnacentral:rRNA from 1 species